GUGGGGGGGGACCCAUAGAUGGCAGAUCCCAUAGGGUGGGGGUCCCAUAGGGUGGGGGUCCCAUAGGGUGGGGUCCCCAUAGAUGGCAGAUCCCAUAGGGUGGGGGUCCCAUAGGGUGGGGGGUCCCAUGGGGUGGGGGGGCCCAUAGAUGGCAGAUCCCAUAGGGUGGGGGGGCCCCAUAGAUGGCAGAUCCCAUAGGGUGGGGGUCCCAUAGGGUGGGGGGGCCCAUAGAUGGCAGAUCCCAUUGGCUGGGGGGGUCCCAUAGAUGUCAGAUCCCAUAGGGUGGGGGUUCCCUUAGGGUGGGGGGGUCCCAUAGAUGGCAGAUCCCAUAGGGUGGGGGGGUCCCAUAGAUGGCAGAUCCCAUAGGGUGGGGGUCCCAUAGGGUGGGGUCCCAUUGGGUGGGGGGGACCCAUAGAUGGGAGAUCCCAUAGGGUGGGGGUUCCCAUUGGCUGGGGGGGUCCCAUAGAUGGCAGAUCCCAUAGGGUGGGGGUCCCAUAGGGUGUGGGGGUCCCCAUAGACGGCAGAUCCCAUAGGGUGCGGGGUCCCAAAGAUAAGAGAUCCCAUAGGGUGGGGGUCCCAUUGGCUGAGGGGGGCUCAUAGAUGGGAGAUCCCAUAGGGUGGGGGUCCCAUAGGGUGGGGGGGUCCCAUAGAUAAGACAUCCCAUAGAGUGGGGGAUCCUAUGGGUGGGGGGGUCCCAUGGAUGGCAGAUCCCAUAGGGUGGGGGGGGCCCAUAGAUGGCAGAUCCCAUUGGGUGGGGGUUCCCAUAGGGGUGGGGGGGUCCCAUAGAUGGCAGAUCCCAUAGGGUGGGGGUCCCAUAG
ensembl:lncRNA